CUUGAGGCCUAGUUUGUGCCUUCACGCUCAAGAGCUUAACCCUGCGGCCUCUUGUGUGAAUAGAGUUCAGCCUCCAAACACCCCCUCCAGGACUGAAAGACUCAUUGUUUUUUUAAAGAACUCCUAAGCCAUUGCCUGGUCAAGAGUCCUCCAACUGUGGCAACUGUAAGACUUGUGGACUUCAACUCCCAGAAUUCCCCCGAUGGGGCUGCUAGUCGCCAGGUCCCCUCUGCUCCCUUUCCUCCAAGAACUCCCCCACUAUGUUUUUCCCACCCUCUGUUAACUUCCGAGCUGUUUGGCACCCCUCUGGCCUUCUUGUUCCAUUCACUUAGGUUACCUUCCCCAUCUUCCAGUCUAUCUGACUCCCCUUCAGUUACCACUAAGCUGCACCCCUUCAAGAUCCGUUCAUUACCUCUACCGCUCUUGGCCCCUCUAUUCACUCUUCGUCUCUUGGCUCCACUGGUCAAUUCCCCUGGUCUCUAGUCUCCCAUGUGGCCUCCCCUCUGCUGAUUGCCCUCCAGCGCUGCCAUGCUGGCUGGAGAACUCUGGGAACUGAAGUCCACCAACCUUACAGUGGCCAAAGGUUGAAGACCCCUGGCCAAGUCCUUCAGACACUUCAUAGGGCUCCACCUCUUCCAGCCUCCCUGCACAAUUCUCUUUAGCUUCCAUCUUGCAGAUGAGAUUAAUGGGAUUAGGAGUGAAGAGUGGUUGGCUUUGCCUUCACUGAUUUGGUGAGACAGCCAAGGUUGAACAGGGACUCUACCUGGAGCAUUAAUUCAGAGGAUCGGGCAGAACAAGAGGCUGCCAUGUUUCAAUUCUGAACUGGCAGAAUCAAGAGGGAACUUGGGGCACAUGAUGGGAUAUGAGGAAGCUCCGUCCUUCUCUGUGAGCAUCAGGGUGUCACAGGAAUAUACAAAAGGGGAGGAUCUUGCAAGGGAAACCUCUGCUUUCACCAGUUUGAUGUCCCACAUGGAAGAGGCAAUCCUGAUGCUCCAACCUUUUUCCUUGGACUCAGAGGACCUAAUUUCUCUGCUCCCAAAGACCUCAUCUCUCACCAACUUAUAAUCAGG